rnacentral:rRNA from 1 species
GAUGAACGCUGGCGGCGUGCCUAAUACAUGCAAGUCGAGCGAAUGGAUUAAGAGCUUGCUCUUAUGAAGUUAGCGGCGGACGGGUGAGUAACACGUGGGUAACCUGCCCAUAAGACUGGGAUAACUCCGGGAAACCGGGGCUAAUACCGGAUAACAUUUUGAACCGCAUGGUUCGAAAUUGAAAGGCGGCCUCGGCUGUCACUUAUGGAUGGACCCGCGUCGCAUUAGCUAGUUGGUGAGGUAACGGCUCACCAAGGCAACGAUGCGUAGCCGACCUGAGAGGGUGAUCGGCCACACUGGGACUGGAACACGGCCCAGACUACUACGGGAGGCAGCAGUAGGGAAUCUUCCGCAAUGGACGAAAGUCUGACGGAGCAACGCCGCGUGAGUGAUGAAGGCUUUCGGGUCGUAAAACUCUGUUGUUAGGGAAGAACAAGUGCUAGUUGAAUAAGCUGGCACCUUGACGGUACCUAACCAGAAAGCCACGGCUAACUACGUGCCAGCAGCCGCCGUAA